CAUUAUGAAGCUAUAUCAGCAUUAACCUUUUAAGUUAAAGAAAGAGAACUACCUUCUCCAUAAUGA
rnacentral:tRNA from 1 species